AUGGGUUAUGACACCAGCGAGCUAGCAGUCACCGGAUAAACAAAAAUUGCAUCACCAAUUUUUUGAGUGGCUCAAUUGCUAUGAAAGGUGAUUUAAUUUAAGAAAAACAAUGUACAAAGUAACCUUUAAAGUCUUAUGGCGGGCAUCCGAUAUUGUAGAGAAAUUUUGGAACUCAGGAGUGUGAGAUUUUAGAAUAUUUAAGAAAACUUUCAAAAUUCAAUGGUGAAAUUUAAAUAUAGAGUGAUCGGCAUAUACUAACAUCGCGGAAUGGUUGUUGCAGCAAAUUUAAAUGAAAUAGUAACAUGUAUAUCGAAAAAUUGUAGAUUAUAUAUGUAUAAUUAUGUUAAAAAGAAAACGCAUCUCCAUGUGUAUUUUGUAAUUGCACAAAUUAGUAGUCGUUAAAUAUAUAUAAUGGUGUCACAAUUAUGGUUGUCGCACAAAGCUGGAAAAAUGUAGUAAAAUAGUAAAAUAUUAAUAUAAAGUUUUAAUAUUACUAUUUUUUUCUUAAAUUUUAGUCAAAUUAAGGCUUACAAAACUCUCUGUGUGCAAUAUUAUAAUUGUCCAAAAAUCCUAGCCCGUGCAGUAGCACGGGUUGACGAUUAGUAAUCUCUAAUUGUCAUUGCAAACAUGUUCAAUCCAUAACGAGUUGAAUCCAGAACGAUGAGCUAAUCAUAUUUAAAAAACAAAAUAGAUCGAGUUCAUACCACCUUUUCUUCACCUCCGCCACUUCGUCAUAUAUCGUCAUUAUUGCCUUUCACUUGCACGACCGAACGAUGUCAAUAAUAAUAAUAAGAGUGCACCUGCAUUGGACUAAGCUGGAAUCUGCAAGCAAUACUCAAAGGAGAAGACAAGGUAAUAUGGGCCCCUCUGAUAGAUAAAUGAUAAUGCAUAUGAGCGCCACUCAACAUGUCAUCGUGGUCUUCUCCUUACGACCCAAAGAAGAAAGAAAAACUAUUUACACAGGAAAGCCCCCAACAAACAAAAGAAGAACGAAAAAUCUUUUGGGGUUUUCUUUUAACACUACAACUUCAACAAACUAGAAGGUAAAGUAGAACUAUUUUUUAUUUUUAUUUUCUCAAGGUUAAUGAAACACACAAGAAGAAAACAAAAAGAAGAAAUAAACUACCAUGGAUGGUACAAUGACAAAGUAUGAAAACCGACAACCGGAAUGAGUGUGUGAACAUGAAUGUAAUGUCGGUGAGAAAUACGUACUCUCCCAAGUUUAGGCUUUUGGCCUAAGUUGGUUGCUACCUCUUGAGUUUGCGUUGGUUUUCCCUUAAAGAGGAAAGGGUGAUGCAGCGAAGUAGAUAAGUAUUUCCCUCAGUUUGUUGAGAACUAAGGUAUCAAUCCAGUAGGAGGAACAAGCAAGGCCCUAAUGGUAGUACUUGCACAAAUAUCAAACACUUGCACCUAGCGCUAUAAAGGGGUUGUCAAUCCCUUCAGAGUUAUUUGCAAGGAUGAGAUCUGAUAGAGAUAGAUAUAAAAUAUUGCG
rnacentral:lncRNA from 1 species